UACGUAGGUGGCAAGCGUUGUCCGGAAUUAUUGGGCGUAAAGCGCGCGCAGGCGGUCCUUUAAGUCUGAUGUGAAAGCCACCGGCUCAACCGUGGAGGGUCAUUGGAAAUUGGGGGACUUGAGUGCAGAAGAGGAAAGCGGAAUUCCACGUGUAGCGGUGAAAUGCGUAGAGAUGUGGAGGAACACCAGUGGCGAAGGCGGCUUUCUGGUCUGUAACUGACGCUGAGGCGCGAAAGCGUGGGGAGCAAACAGG
rnacentral:rRNA from 1 species